AUAUCCUUUAUUGCCGAAAGGAAUAAGAAUUUUUCCGGAAUUUAAUGCCCACAACCAAAAGAGAAUGAAGUUAUGAGGAGGAGAAUGGGAAAGGGAAUGGGAAGAGAGAAGAAGGGGAAAAAGAAGGGAAAUCCAGAGGGAAAGUGAAGGGGGAAAAGUGAGGUUGAAGCUGCCCUUCCCGGCCCGUCCCCGCUAUCUCUAUCUGCCUGCCAUUUUUGUACUUGUGAAAGAAAAGAAACAUACGACCUUUUGUCUAAUGAGGUAAGACCAGACCCAAGCUAACCCUUAUUAAAGAAGACAAAGUAUACGUUGUAUAAUUGCUGGCUAUAGCUCUCCUUCUCUUCUCACUCACGUUUUCACUAAAGGAAGGAAUCUCUCGUUUUCGAGCAUUAGAAGGAGAUAAGAAGUAUCGAUGGCGGAUAAUUAGCUUUCGGAACUGAUCAUACUGCUAGAGUUGAUACUGCAUUUGCCUUUGUUACUUGGAAUUAAUCUUCCCCCUUUGUUUGCUGUCUCUGCCUCUUUCUAAUGGCCUUGCUAUCUCGAUCUAGGAUGACUGCAUCGAUUUCUAGUUGUAGUUCACUUGCAAUGCAUUCCCGUGCGGCUGGAUUUCUACAAGGACCUGCAGUUCCAGGUUCUGUUGCCGAGCCUGUCCUAUAAGAUCGUGGUUAACGUGCUCAAACCAAACUGGUUGUAAUUAAGCACAUGCACAAACAUAAUCACACUACUUGUUUCCUGGACCUCCCCCUCAAAUCUUUCAGAUCUAAUGAGCCAGUUAUUGGGCCGAUCUGUCUAUACGUGGGCUGCUGGAGUACUUCAAGUAGGAGACAUAGGCCGAGAUCCAAUUGAUGCUGCUGUAUAUAUUUAUUUACUUAAUAUAAUCUCCUGAUUUAAUC